UCUCACGCUUUCGCCGUGUGACACACGGUUUUGCCUGUUUUCACACGCACUCACGCCACACAUCCAAUUUCUCACGCAAAAAAAAUCCGAUGUUGGGCCGUUUCGAUCCCCUGCAGUUUGUACCGUCCAAAGACAAUGUUACGCUAUAGUAAACAGAGACUCGUCAAGCACUAGGACCAAACGGAAAACGGCCGCUCAAGCUGAAGCCUGUUUCCCUUAGUUUAGACCCGCCCACAAGCUCCUCGAUUGGCUCUGCCGUUUCUUGUGUGAUUGGCCGUCCCCACUGUCACUCCAUCUUGCUUGCACACCGGUCUGCGGGAGUUGCCCAGUGACAUCUUUUGCUACCUGUGAGACCGCUCAACCUGUCCGCUGCCUGCUGACGUCACACCCCACAGGAUUCUGGGAACUGUAGUCCCAGCUCCAAAAAUGGGCUCUGGGUUCCUGCACCCCUGCAGUAGCAAUUCCUGACUCCCUCAGGAGUCAAAUUCUAACAGGUAAUCUGUUUCUCACCCAGCAAUUAAUAAAAUAAUACAUUCACAUGAACAAGUAUAUAUUGACAGGCUUAAGGAAGUUAUAGAGAAAUAGGUGGGGAAGGAAAUAAACAACAAAUAAAUAAAAUAAAUAUUGAUAAUGACAUUGUUGAUGGUAGUAAUGAUGAUGAUGAUGAUUGUGAUGUAAUGGUAUUAUAAUGGUUAUUAAGAUAAUAAUUACAAUUGCAGCUAUUAUUAUUAUUAUUAUUAUUCAAUAUGGUUCUGAUAUGCUUAAAAAGAUUUGCGAAUUGUGGAGAUUUCCCAUAGGAAGAUAGUAAUCCAGAUGUCAGAACUCAGCGUCUCUUUGGCGUCUGUAGAAACUCCAUAUGUGAAGUUAUGUGCAACGUAGAGAGGAGCUUGAUUCUUUGGCUGUAAUAUCAGUACUUGUCCUUCUAUGGUGGCUCUCUUUUAGGAGUAUCGUAAGUCCUUCUCUGCCAAAGCUGCAAUGUACAUUCAGAUUCAGUCAGAACUAGAUUGGUAUAUAGUCGUCCUGCCAUUAUCAGCAGACAUUUUACAGGUUAUAAAUUGCUAGUCUGCUAUCUUUGCAGUAAACUGCAGAGAUGUAUCGAUGCUGAGACUGAGAGUAUUAACAGCCAUUCAUUCCACUGAGGCAUUUAAAACAUAUUCUUAUUAUGAAAGUAUGAGGAUUAAUUAGCUGGCCCCUGCAGUAGAGAUUCCUGACUCACUCAGGAGUCAAAUUCUAACAGGUAAUCUGUUUCUCACUCAGCAAUUAAUAAAAACAAAUCUAUAUUGACAGGCUUAAGGCUUAAAUAAAUAAUAGAGAAAUAGAUGGGGGAGGAAAUAAACAACAAAUAAAUAAAAUAAAUGAGGUUGAUGGUGGUGGUGAUGAUGAUUGUGAUGUAAUGGUGAUUUAAGAGAAUGAUUGUGAUUAUUAUUAUUAUUAUUAUUAUUAUUAUUAUUAUUAUUAUUAUUGUGUAAUGUGGUUCUGACCUGCUGACAAAGAUUUGCGGAUUGUGGAGAUUUUCCAUAGUUUGGAAGAUACUAAUCAGAUUUUCAGAACUCAGAGACAAGGAUUAACUUGCUGGAAUCUAAGCUAGCUGAUAGUUGGUUGCUGUUAACAAUUUGACGUUUGCUUUUACAUUUUCCAGUUUUAGAUUGAUGUUUGGGUAGUGAUAUUUCUCUUUUAGUGGACAAAAUGAUAAAAAAUGAAUAUAAAAAUAAUAUUUGACACAGUAUGUCAGUUAACUCAUCUUUAGUUUAAAACAAAGUUAGUUUUUAGUGGCUAAACGGCUGUUAGCAUCAUCACAAGCAUUAUCUAACAACUUCCCUAUGUUCAAGAACUGCUCUGCAAGUACUGGCAAAUCUCAGCUGCAGUUAAAAUUCGUGCUAAUUUCUGUAAAUCAGCCUCCAAUAGCAGGUCUAUGCUGGCUCCCAAAAGUGACCCAUGUCUGUAAAAACUUGCAGUUGGCUAUUUCAGAGCAAGAAGUAGUAAAGGAUCCUCUUUUCGAAGACGUUAUUAAGGAUACAUUGUUAGGUUGUUGUUAAAAUCUCCCUUCUCCUUCUUCAGAGUAUAUUCUUAGGUGUUCCACAAGCAACAAAAACAGAACGUCUUAUCAUUGUUUUCUCAGCUCCUCGCGAUCUUCCAUUUGCAACAUAUCUGGCUUAAUUUCUCAAGAGCCGUUUUCCUAUGCUUUGAAGAAUGCGCAGUGCCCAGAGGUUUGUGUAUAGCUGGGAAAAGCAGACAUUGGAUGCCUUCAAAUUCAUACCACUUUACCCUUGCAUGGCAUCUUUUCGGUGUAGAUGGUUUCUAAUUGUAUGUUUCUGUUAAACUGGCAUUCGGUUGCUGCAGUAGCCCUUCUUGACAGAAGCAGUUUGCUGGUUUCUCUACACAUUUGCAAACUCGUUUCGUCUUGCAUCUUCUAGAUGGUUUUCUAGUAGUUGACUUAUCCUUGUUCCUGCCAGCCCGCAGUAUCUCUACAGUCAGAAGCUUUUCCAGGAGUUAGGAGUACCGCUUUCCAAGAAACUGAAGACCCUUCGCGCGUUUGGGAUUUCUUUGCAUAACCCUUGAUAGUGUGCUCAUGCAAGCGUCUCUGCAACAAGACAAGCUGUUUCGCAUCAGAACGGCCAUCAAAUCCGGUCUGCCGCCCCAUUCUCUCUAGAAGAGUUUGUGCUUUCUCCCUCAAGGUCAUCCAUAUCACGUUGCUGGGUCUGGCUAAAAUCUGUUAAAAUGUUAAGAUACUGCGUAUUAGACUAAGGCUGUUGCACAGAUAUGCGGUUCUAGUCUUUGUUAUUUGAUGAUGGACCAGCAUUUCUUUUUAAAUGACUAAAAGGAAUAUGCAGAUUCCCCUAGUUUUCACUUUUCUCUGUUGGUUUUUGGGGGGUUCUCAUAAUGAGUGGUUUGCAGACGACAGAAAUUCAGUUCCUACAUUCACUGCUCUUUAUGAACUCUACCCAAUUGUCGUUUGGGGCAGCAGAUGGUCCCAGAAAUAUUAUGGCGUUUUGUGAGCUGCCAUAGUGGAAAUAAUUUACAGUUUGUGCAUUUAUUGUUUAACUUGAUCCUAAAAUCCUCAAAUGCAAGUAUCAAAGCUAUGCUAGCAGGAAUUCAGUUUCACAUUCGAUGUAAAGAUCCAGCAUCCCAUAGUCUUCUGGGAAGUCCUUCCAUUCAGCUGGUCCUCAAUGGCUUUAAACGGCGCAUCCUCAAGGCAACGAUAAGACUCCUCACACAAUUCACUGGUGCAUUAAGUGUUUUCAUUUAUAUUGAUAUGUUGGAAGAAGUUCUGUUUGUCUGGCUUUUACAGGUUUCUCAGGUGUGAAUAUGCAUGCAGAUCUCAUCUUAAUCCUCAGCAUAAUCUUCCCUUCUCUGAUUUAACCUUAGAAAAUCACAUCACAUGUGCUCAAUAUUCUUGACACACUCAUAAUCUGAUAGAUCUCACCAAGGCACUCAAAUUUCAUUGCUAUGACUAACACUACAUUUUGUCCUUUCUCUUCUAUGAUGAAAUCCCUGCAUCAUCGCUCCAACCCAUCGGUUGGCUCCCUUGUUCAUUGUCGUUGGUUGCAACCCAUGGCGAGAUCCCGGUUCUGCUUAAGAUGUGUGAUGUCUGCUGAGCUGUGGCCUAACGCGAACGCUAUCCCUUCACCAUCUAAGAUGCUCAGCUACAACCACAGCUGUCCAUCUGCCCGCAUCAACCAAUCUACCAAGGCUAAUGUCAGGCUCCACAAGAAGGAAUUUUGGCCAUGCAAACUCAUGAGCUCCUGCUCCCCUUAAUACAUUUAUCUGCUGACACCCCAACUGGUCGAGGCAGACGACCACCCACCUGGAGCCGUUUCCUAGGUUUCUGCCACUUAAAAGGCAGUUUUUCCUUGCCCCCGUCGCCAAGUGCUUGUUCAUGAUGGUACUGUUGGGUCUCUGUAAACAAUGUUAUAAGGAGUCGGUCUAGACCUUCUCUAUUUGAGAGUGUCCUGAGAUAACUUAUGUUAUGAAGUGGUGCUAUACAAAUUGAAUUGAUUAAUCAUAUAUUUGCAAAUCAGGUGGUUGCUGGGUUUAGACUAUCUAUAUCUUUGCUAUAUGGGAAAUGUUCCUGCAUAAUACUUUGCUAAGUAGCAGUUCACUAGAUAGUGUAUUCCGCUGGGGCCUAGGUGCUUCAGGGGAAUGGCCACACGGCGGCCAAGGUGCCAAGCUAAGGUCUCACAUUGCAGUUUCGUCACUAGAUAGUAUAUUCCACUGGGGCCAAGGUGCUUCAGGGGGAAUGGCCACACCGCGGCGGUGUAAGGUCCACACAUAGAAGUUCACUAAGUAGUGUAUUCCGCUGGAGCCAAGGUGCUUCAGGGGAAUGGCCACACCGCAGCUGUGUAAGGUCCACACAUAGAAGAUUGUUUUGGGUAUUUGCGCAUCACUCCCCAAUAUCUCAUGUAAACAUAUCCGCGGGGAUUGAUGAGGUCGGAGCCUAGACGCCAAAAUGUAAAUAUGCUAUACUGUUUAAUAAACAUUCCACGUGAGUUGGCUGACUGAA